AUGGCUGACACAAAAGUCGAUACCAGCUCGGAAGUCUCCGCCAAGGACCUUAAAGAAAAGAAACAGGUUGAGGAGGCAGAAAACGGAAAGGAUGCCCCCGAGCAGCUGAGGAUGAUGAUGAUGAUGAUGAUGAUGAGGAUGAGGUUGAAACCAAGAAGCAAAAGACUGACGUGUAAGAAGCUACUUUGUUGGAAAUCUCGUCCCUCCUUGUCCACCGGGGGAGCAAAAACAUGGUCAUCAUCAAGUAGAGUCCACCAUCUGUGUACACACACCUAACUGCAGAUUUUGUAGAAACAACCAAGACUUCAAAGCUCUACCUUCUUACAAAAUACUUUAAAAGGAAAAAUUUGUUUGUAUUUUUAUUUACAUUUUAUAUUUUUGUACAUAUUGUUAGGAGGUCAGCCAUUUUUGACAGUGAUCUCUGGUUACAAAACGGUGCUUUGAAGUUGAUGCUUCUCUAUGAAAUAGAUUUUACUUGUGGUUUGACCAUGUCAUGUUAUCUCAAAAGAAACUUGUAAAAAACUACGCAAAAAAAGAAUGAAAAAUUGCAGAAAACCAUGAAAAAAAAACAUUAAUUCAAAGCAUUCCAGUAACUUUGUGUAUGUACAUCAGUUGUAUCAUACGUAGUUGGAUUGUAUGAGAGGGCAAGGCCAAAAGAAAAGAAUUUUCUUCUUUUCUUUCUUGUCUGUUAAAUUGCUAUCUAUUUGUGGCCUGUUUGAUGUAUGUGUGAAAUUUGUUGUGCGACAAUAAACCGAAAUUUAUUUUGUGAGUUCUUAAAUUUGUUUGUUGUUGUUGUUGUUAUUGUUCUUUUUUUUUCCUUUUAUGACUUCUCAUGAGUUUUUAAUGUUGGAGCUGUAUGGGCAAGAAUAAUUGAACCAGCAUUAUCUUCAGAUGCAGUUCAUGUUUUUCAUCAGCCUGUCAAAAGUAAAUGUACAUCAAUGUAAAUUAUUCAGGCCUUUAAGACUCCAAGAUCUGGUAUAAAUUAUAUUGCGUUAAAUAAAAUUGACUGUGUGGAUUCUUUCAUUUAUAUUCACAUUUUUUAGGCCACAUUGCUCACAUUUAUAUAUAUAUACGUACAUUUAUAUAUGUGUGUGCGCGCAUAACAUUUUAUUUGGAAAUUAAGAUAAUUCAUCUACAUUGCAUUAACACUCAUUUCUUUUGUAACAAGAUGGCAAAUUUGUAAAUCAAUUAUAUGUUAGUGUUCGAUGUAGCAUUUAUGAAAAGGACUCUGUAGAACAGAUCAAAAACACAAAGUCCUCUUAGAAAUGAAAUGAGGAGCUCAAGUGUUACUGAACUUUGAAGUUUAAAUACUGAAAGCUAUUUUUAGCUACUGGCUGAAUACAGUCAUUUUAACAGACCAUUUCAAAAAGUGAUCUGAUUGUAUUAUAAAAGUAACAGUUUAAAAUAUAGCCAUUUUAAAGACUACGAAAGUAUUUCAUAAAUUGCAUUUGUGUAGCAGUUCGAAGUCUGACAGAAAUGUCACAAUGUGCACAAAACCAAGAGUGCUAGAAUAUUUUAUGCAUAUUAUAUAGGCUAUAGGCCAAACACCCUUCUACCUGUUUACCUUAGACAUGGGUGUGUGUUAAAUUACUUCCAAACAAGCUGGUUUUAAUGAGCAGGCAGCCAAUCAAAAUCUUGUGGGAAGUAGGGAGUGGAAGUAUCAGUGUCACAAGUAGGUGUACACACCGCCAGAGGAAACAACAGAUGGACGGGGUUCUGGGCCAUCAUGCUUUCAACAACAAAGGGAAACAAGCCCAUGUGAAGAAAGUAGAAGAUCAAGGCUAGUUCGGGAACUAGUAGAGUGGAAUUAGAAUGAGGGAACAUAAGUGAAAUGCAUCCAUCUAGGAGAUCAUGGAGAUAUAAGGAAUUUGGAUCAUUUCCAGAUUCCUUUUUUUCUGGUUUGGUCUAUGAAUGAUACAUUUCCAACAAGCCAUAACCUGCAUAAAGGUGGACCCUCUGUAUACAAUGUGGUGAGAAAGACGCCAUGACCACAUUUUAGCAGCAUACAAGAUGACACUUGUCUAAUGAACUGCUAAAAAUGCUUGUUGACAGUACUUGUUAAAAACAGCAUCUUUGAAAACAACGGAAGAGAACAAAUAGAAUAAGGGAACUAUUGAUCUCAUUCAUUUAACUUACCACAAGCUCAAGUAAUUAUAAUGCUUGAAUUGUCUAGUUUAGCUAGAGGUGUCUAAAUGCUUUACUACGAAGGGCUAAAAAGCAAGUCUGACUGCAUGCAUUCAUACAUGCAUCUAAAUGCUGCAUUAUAAGUGGUCAAGUUUAUGUUGGUUCAAGGGGCUUUUUCAUGAACUUUAAUGAGGUUAGGGCAUAAGACAGGACUUACAUGGGUUCUCAUGAGAACCAACUGGUUCAUCACAUCUAAAUGAUUCUGCUGGCUAAUGAUUUGUCUUACAUAAUGUCUUAAUAAAUAGCCCUGUGCAUUAGAUGUCAGUCUUAUUGAAGCCGUAACUAUCAGACAACAUCUAAACCAAGAACAGCAGAUGUGUUAAGCACGAUUUUUGUGUGAGCACAUAUUUGGAGCACAUUGAUUUUGCGUGCAAGUCUUUGUUGACUGUGUUCAAUGGGGUUUAGAGAUCAAUAUGGGUUCAGAAAGUCGAAUUGAAUUCCACCAUUUGCACACACAAGAUGUGUCCAUAAGCACAUAUCAAGGGUCUGUGACAGGGAGCAACAAAAUGAAUCAUUAAUAGCAUUCUAAAGAACAUCACUUAAAAAUAGUUACAAGUUCUUUAGUAUGAUUACAGUCAGAGCACCUGUAAGGGUCAACAGCACUGCAGCUUUAAAAAUGCACAUCCUUGUGCUAACAAGUCUUUAAAUCGACUUAUCAUUAGAUGUUUUACCCUUGGGAUUGUCUCUGCUCUUGUUAGAAAGAUUCUUCCUACUAUUAAAAUCCUGUAAAUAUGGCUGUCAGCGGGCUUUAGUGAUAUUAGUCUUUUGUGAUUAUGUCUAUAGGAAACAGACUGAAAAGUGUGUGUUUGAGAGAAAGCAAUGUUUGAUACCCAAAGGUCAUUGUGUCGGUAGGUCUUGGUUUGGGUUUAACUGAAUUUUUUUGGUUUCUUUUUUGAUCCAAAUUCACAUUUUACCCCGAAAUAAAAACAAUAUGAAUGUUGAUAUUUAUUAUAUUUAGUAAUAUAUAAUAUAAUUAUAAUACAUUAUAUAAAUAUAAUGUAUUCAAAUAUAAUUAUAUUAAUAUUAAAUAUAAUACAUAUAGUAAAUAUAAUCUCAAGAGUAAUUAUUAAACAUUUAAAUUUUACUAAAAUUAAUUAUAAAAACAUUGCUACACUGCAGAAUUUUAAUGUAACUUACCAGUUUAUUUAAUCAAAUUGAUUACAUUUGGAUGUAAUCAUUUAAAUGUAACUUUCUGACAUCACUCACAUAUCUUCUCAAUAAGACUUUCCAAGUCCCUCUAUUGCUUGGUCUUGUGAAAAUCCAGAAAUCUGUUUAGUAGAAUCCAUGUCGAACAAAAUUGCUUCUAUUCAAGUGCUGCUCUAAAUCUUUGUUGCCUCCUUAUGGUUCCAUUCAUGCAAUGCAUCAUCCCAAGGCCAAGCGUAAGCAUCCCGGGAAUUCAUAAUAUUGGCAUGGUUCAAAUUUGUAUUGGUAAGUCAUCUCUAUUUUAGCAAUCCAUGGAAGAAGAAUAGUGAGUGUGUCAGCUCUGAGUCUUUCUCUCUGUGUGAAUUUCUCAGUGCAGUGAUCUGGCUGCUCCUGGAUAAACAGAGCAAGAAUCACAGUAUCAGAGGCUGUGGGUGAGAACUCUGA
rnacentral:lncRNA from 1 species